GUUUUUCUUUAGAGAAGAGAACAGAGAGCAGAGCAGAGGAAGGGUUGUGUGGGACUACAGAGUUCUUAACUUUUUCAAGCAUGAUCAACUGAAAACAGUUUUUCCAGGGAGACGACUGCCUGACAGUUGACUCUGCUGGAACCUUUUUAAUGAGGAAAUGCUCUCGACAGAUGAAAGCAGCGUCAUGGUUCACCUCACAGAGCCAGGUUUCUCAUGACGUGGUACCGGAUCAACUUACGAGCACAACUGUACCAUCAGAGUCCCGUUGUUACUGCGGUUGGUCAGAUCUCAGGUCUCAAACAUGCAGCAGGACAUUCACUGCCACAGCUGGAGAAAACUCUGCUUUGUUUUGUGCACAUUUGCUGGAUUUGCAAGAAUCAACCUUUGCUGAGGAAAGACUGGCACACUUAACUUGGAGGUUUUCUGCAACUCCUCCCCACCUGGAAGUCACUACUGGUUCUUCUUUCCAGUCCACCUGACACCUCCCACUGGAGAAAGGAUUCAUUAAAAUAAAAUCUAGAUUGUUUUCUUU